GUCGUUGUAGUAUAGUGGUGAGUAUUCCCGCCUGUCACGCGGGUGACCCGGUUCGGUCCCCGGCAACGGCG
rfam:Picea glauca, whole genome shotgun sequence.